AAAAAUUUCAACUACUUACUUAAAACUCAGAGAGAAUUACAACACAGAAUAUAUAAUGCUGAUAAAUAAAUUUGUGUGUUCAUAGUAUACAUAGAAGCACUUGUUUGUCCAAUUUAAACAUGUAUAUAUAACAUAACAUAAUUCGCCAUCUACCAUUUAACAUUUCAUACAAAAAAAUAGCAUCUAGGUUAUUAAUGAGUUAAACUCAAACCCUACUCAUUCAACUGCUAUAAGUGAGUUAACAAAUUCUAGAGGCGGGUCAUUAUAAAACAAAAAUUCCAGUAAGAAAUUACUACAACUUAUAAUUAGGGGAAACAAGUCACUUUCCAUUGCCAAGAUGUGAUAAAUUUAGUUUUUGAUUGGAAUUAAACGAUUCUUUUGACUAAGCAUACCAAAUAGGGAAUCCCAUUGAUGUAUUCGAAUC
rnacentral:lncRNA from 1 species